rnacentral:rRNA from 1 species
UAUACCGAUUGGGAGCAGGUGGCGAAUUUCGCCCGAGAAAUCGCCCAUUUAACCGACAAACCGACGCUGAAAUAAGCAUAAAGAAUAAAAAAUGCGCGGUCAGAAAAUUAUUUUAAAUUUCCCCUUGUCAGGCCGGAAUAACUCCCUAUAAUGCGCCACCACUGACACGGAACAACGGCAAACACGCCGCCGGGUCAGCGGGAUUCUCCUGAGAAUUCCGGCAGAGAAAGCAAAAAUAAAUGCUUGACUCUGUAGCGGGAAAGCGUAAUAUACGCCACCUCGCGACAGUGAGCUGAAAGCCGCGUCGCAACUGCUCUUUAACAAUUUAUCAGACAAUCUGUGUGGGCACUCGAAGAUACGGAUUCUUAACGUCGCAAGACGAAAAAUGAAUACCAAGUCUCAAGAGUGAACACGUAAUUCAUUACGAAGUUU